GCGCCCGUAGUUCAGAUGGAAGAACGCCGGGUUGCGGACCCGGAGGUCGCGGGUUCGAGUCCCGCCGGGCGUACCA
rnacentral:tRNA from 1 species